rnacentral:rRNA from 1 species
UCGAGAAUAAUUCGCAAUGGGCGAAAGCCUGACGAUGCGACGCCGUGUGAGCGAAGAAGGCCUUCGGGUUGUAAAGCUCUGUCGCUUGGGAACAAGAUACUUAGGUGAAUAGCCUAAGUGUUUGAGAGUACCAGGAAAGGAAGCACCGGCUAACUCCGUGCCAGCAGCUGCGGUAAUACGGAGGGUGCAGGCGUUAGUCGGAAUUACUGGGCGUAAAGGGCGCGUAGGCGGGGAUGUAAGUCAGACGUGAAAUUCCGAAGCUCAACUUCGGAGCGGCAUCUGAAACUGCAUUUCUAGAGGAAAAGCGGAGAAAAUGGAAUUCCACGUGUAGCGGUGAAAUGCGUAGAUAUGUGGAAGAACACCUGUGGCGAAAGCGGUUUUCUAGCUUAAACCUGACGCUGAGGCGCGAAAGCAAGGGGAGCAAACAGG